rnacentral:rRNA from 1 species
CGGAGUCGUACACGGUACCCGUAUAGUUUCACGUUGUACCCGGUUUUCUGUAUUGGGGCCGCACGGGUGCGUAACGGGUGGGAAUCUACCCUUGGGUACGGAAUAACUCAGAGAAAUUUGUGCUAAUACCGUAUAAUGACUUCGGUCCAAAGAUUUAUCGCCCAAGGAUGAGCCCGCGUAAGAUUAGCUAGUUGGUGGGGUAAAAGCCUACCAAGGCGACGAUCUUUAGCUGGUCUGAGAGGAUGAUCAGCCACACUGGGACUGAGACACGGCCCAGACUCCUACGGGAGGCAGCAGUGGGGAAUAUUGGACAAUGGGCGAAAGCCUGAUCCAGCAAUGCCGCGUGAGUGAUGAAGGCCCUAGGGUUGUAAAGCUCUUUUACCCGGGA